rnacentral:rRNA from 1 species
UACGUAGGCAGCGAGCGUUGUUCGGAGUUACUGGGCGUAAAGGGUGCGUAGGCGGUUGUUUAAGUUUGGUGUGAAAUCUCCCGGCUCAACCGGGAGGGUGCGCCGAAUACUGAAUGACUAGAGUGCGGGAGAGGAAAGUGGAAUUCCUGGUGUAGCGGUGAAAUGCGUAGAUAUCAGGAGGAACACCGGUGGUGUAGACGGCUUUCUGGACCGUAACUGACGCUGAGGCACGAAAGCGUGGGUAGCAAACAGG